rnacentral:rRNA from 1 species
CACGUAGGGCGCAAGCGUUGUCCGGAAUUAUUGGGCGUAAAGAGCUCGUAGGUGGUUUGCUGCGUCCGCUGUGAAAACCCAAGGCUUAACCUUGGGCUUGCAGUGGAUACGGGCAGACUAGAGGUAGGUAGGGGAGAGUGGAAUUCCCGGUGUAGCGGUGAAAUGCGCAGAUAUCGGGAGGAACACCGGUGGCGAAGGCGGUUCUCUGGGCCUUACCUGACACUGAGGAGCGAAAGCGUGGGGAGCGAACAGG